AAAAUAUUAGAAUUCCUUACCUCGAUUCCAUCCACUAGUGAACGAGACCUCUGCUGCCCACCGCCUCUCCUUCAACCCCUGCCUAUCCUCCACACCAUCUUCCCCACCAUCUUCUCUACAUCCCUUAACUGCAGUCUCCAACACGAAGGGAAUGGAGAAAGGAUCUUCCCCAACCAAAAGAUGAAGCUUUUCAGCUGAACCUCCCUCCCAGCUUGGAUUUUUGUUCAUGGUGAAGAGGUCUGGAGCCAAUAGUCAUUGAGCAUCCAAGGACCCUCCAAACUCCCUUGUAAUUUUGGUUCAAGCCAUCCAAAAAUGGCUUCUUCCAGCACCCAUAGAGCCUCUUCUUCGACUACUUCUAUUUCUCGUAAUUAUGAUGUGUUCUUGAGUUUUAGAGGUGGCGAUACUCGCAGAAAUUUCACUGAUCAUCUAUAUACCACAUUGACUGCAUCUGGAAUUCAAACUUUCAGAGAUGAUGAAGAACUUGAGAAAGGGGGAGAUAUUGCAUCUGAUCUCUUGAGAGCUAUAGAAGAAUCGAGGUUUUUUAUUGUUAUUUUCUCAAAAAAUUAUGCUUACUCCAGAUGGUGUUUAAAUGAACUCGUAAAGAUCAUUGAACGCAAGA